UACAGAGGGUGCGAGCGUUAAUCGGAAUUACUGGGCGUAAAGCGCGCGUAGGCGGCUUUGCAAGUCGGGUGUGAAAUCCCCAGGCUUAACCUGGGAACUGCAUUCGAGACUGCAUUGCUAGAGUAUGGGAGAGGGAAGUGGAAUUUCCGGUGUAGCGGUGAAAUGCGUAGAUAUCGGGAGGAACACCAGUGGCGAAGGCGACUACCUGGCCUGUUCUUGACGCUGAGGCGCGAAAGCUAGGGGGAGCAAACGGG
rnacentral:rRNA from 1 species